AGUGAACGCUGGCGGUAGGCCUAACACAUGCAAGUCGAACGGCAGCACAGUAAGAGCUUGCUCUUACGGGUGGCGAGUGGCGGACGGGUGAGGAAUAAAUCGGAAUCUACUUUUUCGUGGGGGAGAACGUAGGGAAACUUACGCUAAUACCGCAUACGACCUACGGGUGAAAGCAGGGGAUCUUCGGACCUUGCGCGAUUGAAUGAGCCGAUGUCGGAUUAGCUAGUUGGCGGGGUAAAGGCCCACCAAGGCGACGAUCCGUAGCUGGUCUGAGAGGAUGAUCAGCCACACUGGAACUGAGACACGGUCCAGACUCCUACGGGAGGCAGCAGUGGGGAAUAUUGGACAAUGGGCGCAAGCCUGAUCCAGCCAUACCGCGUGGGUGAAGAAGGCCUUCGGGUUGUAAAGCCCUUUUGUUGGGAAAGAAAAGCAGCAGGUUAAUACCCCGCUGUUCUGACGGUACCCAAAGAAUAAGCACCGGCUAACUUCGUG
rnacentral:rRNA from 1 species